CACGUAGUUAGCCGGUGCUUCUUCUCCAGGUACCGUCACAAAACGCUUCGUCCCUGGCGAAAGGAGUUUACAACCCGAAGGCCGUCAUCCCCCACGCGGCGUCGCUGCAUCAGGCUUGCGCCCAUUGUGCAAUAUUCCCCACUGCUGCCUCCCGUAGGAGUCUGGGCCGUAUCUCAGUCCCAAUGUGGCCGACAACCUCUCAGUCCGGCUACCCGUCGCCGCCUUGGUAGGCCAUUACCCCACAACAAGCUGAUAGGCCGCGGGCUCAUCCUACACCGAAAAAACUUUCCACCACACACACUAAAGCAUGGUCCUAUCCGGUAUUAGACCCAGUUUCCCAGGCUUAUCCCAGAGUGCAGGGCAGGAUCACCCACGUGUUACUCACCCGUUCGCCACUCGAGUACCUCCGAAGACGGCCUUUCCGUUCGACUUGCUAUGUGUUAAGCACGCCGCCAGCGUUCGUCCUGAGCCAGGACUCAAACUCU
rnacentral:rRNA from 1 species